ensembl:lncRNA
UGCAUUCUUUCUCAACCUGCAGCUCAGAAUUUUCCCCCAGUGACUCUGCUCUGGGCCAGGCUGGGUAACACCACGUGGUCACCUGGGUUCGUGCGCCCCUAAAUCCUUCCCAUCUCUGCCAGGUCUUUGAUGGAGCAGAACGGCCAAUGCCUUAGGAUCGGUGAACAGGAAUCUGAAGGAAGAAUGGAAGCCUGGGAAAGGCCCUGCUGAGUAAGAAGUCCCAUCAGACAGAACUUUGGGGGCUUUUCGGGGGCUUCAGCACUGCGUGCCCUGGACUGGGGAGGAGGCAGAGAUGGAGAAUUCCGAAGGCCAUGCCACUCGCUCCACGGCAUCUGCAUGAGCAGAACAUGUUAUUGUAAUCCUGGCUCAUAGCCUUUGGCUCCUAUUUACCCAUGAGUCCCAGGACAACCACUGACUCCAGGUGACAGCUGGAGGGAAAUCUUCAUCUUGCAAGGUCAGAGAGGCCAAGGGCUCUGACCAAGGACACAAAGCUACUGAAUGACAAAGCUAGACUCUGCUGCUGGUGCUCCUGCUGCCGCGCCUUGCCCGUUUGUCCUCGGGCUGCCGGCCUCUUAGAUUAGCAUCUUUUCCAGGGAGUAAUUCACAUGGACGGCAGCCUGCAGGGGAGCUGAGAUAGAGCAAUGACUGCAAAGAGGAGAAAGACCUGGGCUGCCUGUGGGAACCAUACCCAGCUGACACAGGGAACUGAGCUCUGCCAGUGCAGGAAUGUCCCAGAUACUUCCCCCACUAUUGUCUUAACCCUGUCGCUCUGGUUCUGACCCACGGCCAUGUUCGUGUCCUCCAAACCCACACUGGCAUCCCGCAUCCAUGGGACAUCAUCGUCCUUAGCGAAAAAGAAGAAAACUGAAACACAGUUACACUAGCAGGGAGAAAAGAUGAACUUGCUGAAGUGACCUGCUAGUUUCAAACAGAAUUAUUGAUCAAUUAAACUCUUGAAGAGGCAUAACUCAUCAGGGAGCUGUGGUCACAGCUACGAGGUAAUGGGGAAC